AUUGAACGCUGGCGGCAGGCCUAACACAUGCAAGUCGAACGGUAACAGGAAACAGCUUGCUGUUUCGCUGACGAGUGGCGGACGGGUGAGUAAUGUCUGGGAAACUGCCUGAUGGAGGGGGAUAACUACUGGAAACGGUAGCUAAUACCGCAUAACGUCGCAAGACCAAAGAGGGGGACCUUCGGGCCUCUUGCCAUCGGAUGUGCCCAGAUGGGAUUAGCUUGUUGGUGGGGUAACGGCUCACCAAGGAGACGAUCCCUAGCUGGUCUGAGGGGAUGACCAGCCAAACUGGAACUGAGACACGGUCCAGACUCCUACGGGAGGCAGCAGGGGGGAAUAUUGCACAAUGGGCGCAAGCCUGAUGCAGCCAUGCCGCGUGUAUGAAGAAGGCCUUCGGGUUGUAAAGUACUUUCAGCGGGGAGGAAGGGAGUAAAGUUAAUACCUUUGCUCAUUGACGUUACCCGCAGAAGAAGCACCGGCUAACUCCGUGCCAGCCGCCGCGGUAA
rnacentral:rRNA from 1 species